UCCGCGGGCAACGGACUCUGAGAAAACAAAUUUUUUCGUCUUCUCUUGUACAUUUUUCGGACCGGUUUUCGAAAAUUCGUACCGGUAAACAAUUUUGUUUUUUAUUUUAAACCGACUGUUUAAUAUUCAGUAAUACACACGCCAGUAACUUCCCUCCGGACCCCGACGUCAAGUUCUACUGAGCACUAUCCACUGCGGUACGACGUUGGUUUAAUGAAAACACGCAUUAACACUUGACAUAGUAUUUUUGUGACACACAAUUUUCAAUUUGAAAGAAGCUCAAUACUGUACACGCGUCCAGAGACAGCAAAUCCGAAUGGCUGCAAAAUGAUCAAAAAAGAAAAAUACAAUUUCAGUAGGAUACAAUUAUUAUAUAUAUAACAUGGUUAGAUGGCCCAUCUCAUUACAGAGGAUAACCUCUUAUCGGUGAUGGUGGAAUACUAUAAAGAGCUAAAUCUGUACAAGUCUGUCAACAAUAACAUUAUCGGAUUUAAUUUGUGUUUACGCAACAAAAUAAUUGAACUUAUAAUAGUCAACAUUUGAUACUUCAUGAUAAUCCUAUAUUUAUUUUUGGUUUCCGGUUUGAAAACAAUACGUUUUAUAUUGCAAGAAAAUAUAACGUUGUUGCGUUUACAUUGAGCGAAUUAUCUUGAACACGUUUUAGAGACGUUGACGUUUAUAUGUCGGCCAUAUUAUAAUAUCGCUGUUCCCGACGGAAAAACGUUAGUUUUUCAAUUGAAUUUAAAAUCAACAUGUACGUAACAUGUAAGCAUUGGUAAUAAUUCAACAUCGUACAAGUUUUAAGGAAGUCCGUCGAAAUCGUUUCCUAAACGGCACCGACCGAACAUAAUGGUCACUCGGUCCGUGCGCACCGGUUAACAACUGCAAGGCCGUUUGUCGCGUUCGGAUUGCCUAACCGGAACGAAGGAUAAUGAAAAACUCACUUCGAGACUUUAUCGACACGGCCAACUCCACCCUUUGCGAUGUGGAACUCGACCGAAAUGUAGUCGACGUACACCGAUAUCCACCCCCCCUCGCUGUGGGACAAAAUCGUUACUGAGAUUUUAAAAUUUCAUGAAAUUUAUUUUCUUGAAAUAUUUAAUUUCAACGAAAAAUAAAAAUAAAUAUAUUGUAUCUAAAACUUUAUAGUAUCAUUAAUUUGUAUGUGAACAUUUUUAUA